rnacentral:rRNA from 1 species
UACGAGAGGCCCAAACGUUAUUCGGAAUUACUGGGCUUAAAGAGUUCGUAGGCGGCGCAGCAAGUAGGGUGUGAAAGCCCUCGGCUCAACCGAGGAAUUGCGCUCUAAACUACUGUGCUUGAGGAAUCUAGAGGUGAGCGGAACUGAUGGUGGAGCGGUGAAAUGCGUUGAUAUCAUCAGGAACACCGGAGGCGAAGGCGGCUCACUGGGGAUUUUCUGACGCUGAGGAACGAAAGCGUGGGGAGCGAACAGG